AUGGUGAUGAGAUCCAAGCAGCUGGAAGAAGGUGGCAGCACUGGGAAAGCAGCUUGUUUGGCCAGGAAUUUCAACACAAAGAACAUCAUCUUGGAGAUGUCCUCUGAGGAGGUGGUCUAUGAGCAGAACACAUCCAUUCUAACCUCACAAGGGCUCUAUGAUACCAUCAAAGUGGUCAAUAUGACAGAGGACUCAGAGGUGACCUGCACAGCCAAUUUCAACAGCAACACCAUCACAGCCAAUACAACAUUGCCAGGAAGCAGCUAUGACAAGUUACAGUUUGGCCAAGGGACAAAGCUCAGUAUUAAACCAAGAGUUACUCCAUCCCCUUCAGCCUACAGGCUGACCUCCAGAGAUGAUAAGGAGCUGCAAAUGUGCCUCAUCACAGAUUACUCCCCUGACCAGCUCACUGUUGGAGCAGAGAAGAAGUCAACACGUGCUGUGGUGGAGGUGGCAACACCUGAGAACAAGGAGGAAUCAAGUUACCUGUCGACCUACUGGGCCAGGAGAGAUGAGAUGGAUUGUCAUGCCAGCCACGAGGGCUUUGGGGAGCUGGAGGGAGAGGACCCUGAAAGUGGUGCCAAUGCCGUCUGUGUCACAGGGCUGUCCCUGCACUUCAGGACAGAUGAACACCUGAACACACUGUCCUUGUCACAGCUGGGCCUGAAAAUAAUUUUAAUGAAAGGAAUAAUUUUUAAUGUGCUGAUGACAAUGUUGAUGUGGAAAAAAAAGUGA